rnacentral:rRNA from 1 species
CCUACGGGUGGCAGCAGUGAGGAAUAUUGGUCAAUGGGCGCGAGCCUGAACCAGCCAAGUCGCGUGAGUGAGGAAGUAUUUCGGUAUGUAAAGCUCUAUCAGCAGGGAAGAAAAUGACGGUACCUGACUAAGAAGCCCCGGCUAACUACGUGCCAGCAGCCGCGGUAAUACGUAGGGGGCAAGCGUUAUCCGGAUUUACUGGGUGUAAAGGGAGCGUAGACGGCUAAUCAAGUCAGAAGUGAAAACCCAGGGCUCAACCUUGGGACUGCUUUUGAAACUGAGUAGCUAGAGUGCAGGAGAGGUAAGCGGAAUUCCUAGUGUAGCGGUGAAAUGCGUAGAUAUUAGGAGGAACACCAGUGGCGAAGGCGGCUUACUGGACUGUAACUGACGUUGAGGCUCGAAAGCGUGGGGAGCAAACAGGAUUAGAUACCCCGGUAGUC